rnacentral:rRNA from 1 species
AGCGAACGCUGGCGGCAGGCCUAACACAUGCAAGUCGAACGAAGUCUUCGGGGUUAGUGGCGGACGGGUGAGUAACACGUGGGAACGUGCCUUUAGAUUCGGAAUAACUCAGGGAAACUUGUGCUAAUACCGAAUGUGCCCUUCGGGGGAAAGAUUUAUCGCCUUUAGAGCGGCCCGCGUCUGAUUGGCUAGUUGGUGAGGUAAUGGCUCACCAAGGCUACGUUCAGUAGCUUGUCUGAGAGGAUGACCAGCCACAUUGGGACUGAGCCACGGCCCAGAAUCCAACGGGAGGCAGAAGUGGGGAAUCUUGCGAAGUGGGGGAAAGCUGGACGCAGCCAUGCCGUGUGGAUGAUGAAGGUCUUAGGAUUGUAAAAUCCUUUCACCGGUGAAGAUAAUGACUGUAGCCGGAGAAGAAGCCCCGGCUAACUUCGUGCCAGCCGCCGCCGUAACAC